AUCUAGAGAAUUGUGGUUGUUUUGUUUAUUUCACUGAAGAUGCAUCAUCACUAUACCUACUUAAGCAUAUUCUCUGCAUCUGUAUUUAUUUAAAAAUGCUUUUGCAACCUGACACUGUUCAGCUUUUUUAUCUUUUACCAGUAUUUGGGGACUUAUUGGGGAUUCCUUUGAUAAUUUCAGGAAGAAAGAAGUGGAAUGGAAGGAGCCAGUAACUGUCCCAGGUCAGAAAACGCCUCUGAAAAGGAUCUACAUUACACCCAAAGUUCAUUGGAUAACUGCACCCUCAACAAUCAGGAGACAAUAAGUGGUGUAGACAGAGCUAAUAUCUUCCCCAAAUCAGAUGGUACCUCUGAAGACAUUCAGCAUUCCACAGACUGUUCACAGGUUGAGACUUUCCACAUUCAGGAGACAAUAAGUGGUACGAACCAAGCCAGUAACUGCCCCAAAUCAGAUGGUGCCUCUGAAGACAAUCAGCAUUGCACAGACAGUUCACAGCAUGACAGUAUCUUCCACAUUCAGGAGACAAUAAAGGGUAUGAACCAAGCCAGUAACUGCCCCAAAUCAGAUGGUGCCUCUGAAGACAAUCAGCAUUGCACAGACAGUCCACAGCAUGACAGUAUCUUCCACAUUCAGGAGACAAUAAAGGGUAUGAACCAAGCCAGUAACUGCCCCAAAUCAGAUGGUGCCUCUGAAGACAAUCAGCAUUGCACAGACAGUCCACAGCAUGACAGUAUCUUCCACAUUCAGGAGACAAUAAAGGGUAUGAACCAAGCCAGUAACUGCCCCAAAUCAGAUGGUGCCUCUGAAGACAAUCAGCAUUGCACAGACAGUUCACAGCAUGACAGUAUCUUCCACAUUCAGGAGACAAUAAAGGGUACGAACCAAGCCAGUAACUGCCCCAAAUCAGAUGGUGCCUCUGAAGACAAUCAGCAUUGCACAGACAGUUCACAGCAUGACAGUAUCUUCCACAUUCAGGAGACAAUAAAGGGUAUGAACCAAGCCAGUAACUGCCCCAAAUCAGAUGGUGCCUCUGAAGACAAUCAGCAUUGCACAGACAGUCCACAGCAUGACAGUAUCUUCCACAUUCAGUGGCUCUUGAUGUAGAACCACCCAUAGAUCCUUCUGCAAAAGAAGUCCAGAAAUCUUCAAUUGAACAAGCAACAGAAAUAACAAGUACCACAACUACCAUGAAAGGUACUGUUUGUUAAACUUCAUAGAAAGCCUUUAUGAACUUAAAAAUCUCUGUUUUUUCUGAUGUGCUUUGUUCAUUCAGGUCGAAAGGUGGUAAAGAAAAAGAAAUGGGACAGUGAUGAAAUGAAUGCAGUUGAAAAGCAUCUAAACAGGUUCAUCAAAACUUGUACAGUGCCAGGAAAACAACAAUGUGAGGCCUGUAUAAAUGCUGAACCUGUUGCCUUGAAAGACAGGGAUUGGUUGUCUGUAAAGUUCUUUGUGAAGAACAAAAUCACUACCCUUAAAAGAAGAAUGUAAAGUCAGUUAUUUUAUUUUGUUUGGUAUCUUAUUUUCUGGUAUUUUAGAUUUCUGGUUAUUACAUUUGUUUUAAAAGGAUCUUAGAAUCUCUUUUUUUUUUUUUGGAAAUGGGUGCAAUUCAGUAAAGUGUCUUUGAAUCGAAUGUAAAUAUGUACAG
ensembl:lncRNA